rnacentral:rRNA from 1 species
GAUCAGCCACACUGGGACUGAGACACGGCCCAGACUCCUACGGGAGGCAGCAGCAAGGAAUCUUGUGCAAUGGGCGAAAGCCUGACACAGCGACGUCGCGUGGGGGAUGAAGGCCUUCGGGUUGUAAACCCCUUUUAUCAGGGAAGAAUAAUGACGGUACCUGAGGAAUAAGUCUCGGCUAACUACGUGCCAGCAGCCGCGGUAAUACGUAGGGGGCGAGCGUUAUCCGGAUUUACUGGGCGUAAAGUGGGCGCAGGCGGCUUCUCAAGUCGGAUGUAAAAUCUCCCGGCUCAACUGGGAGGGCGCAUUCGAUACUGUGGGGCUAGAGGACAGCAGAGGGAGGUGGAAUUCCCGGUGUAGUGGUGAAAUACGUAGAUAUCGGGAGGAACACCAGUGGCGAAGGCGGCCUCCUGGGCUGUUUCUGACGCUGAGGCCCGAAAGCGUGGGUAGCGAACAGGAUUAGAUACCCUGGUAGUCCACGCCCUAAACGAUGGACACUAGGUAUGGGGAGUAUCGACCCUCUCCGUGCCGAAGCUAACGCGUUAAGUGUCCCGCCUGGGGACUACGACCGCAAGGUUAAAACUCAAAGGAAUUGACGGGGGCCCGCACAAGCAGCGGAGCGUGUGGUUUAAUUCGAUCAACGCGAAGAACCUUACCAAGGCUUGACAUGCUUGUAGUAGAAACCCGAAAGGGGGAUGACCUGUUGAGUCAGGAGCUAGCACAGGUGCUGCACGGCUGUCGUCAGCUCGUGCCGUGAGGCGUUAGGUUAAGUCCUGUAACGAGCGCAACCCUUGUCGUCAGUUACACUCUCUGGCGAAACUGCCUCGAAAACGGGGAGGAAGGUGGGGAUGACGUCAAGUCAGCAUGGCCCUUAUGCCUUGGGCUACACACACGCUACAAUGGAUGGUACAAUGGGUAGCAAGGGGGCGACCCGGAGCCAAUCCCCAAAACCAUCCUCAGUUCGAAUUGCAGGCUGAAACUCGCCUGCAUGAAGUUGGAGUUGCUAGUAACCGCGUAUCAGCACGGCGCGGUGAAUACGUUCUCGGGCCUUGUACACACCGCCCGUCACGUCAUGAAAGUCGACAACACCUGAAGUCGAUGGGCUAACCCGAUUUAUCGGGGGGCAGUCGCCGAGGGUGGGGCCGAUGAUUGGGACGAAGUCGUAACAAGGUAGCCGUAGCGGAAGCUGCGGCUG